CGUAGCCCCGCCCUCAGCCAUGGCGGCAGCAGCGACAGGUAGGGGAGGGUGGCCCGGUCCGGCCCGGCUACCAUCUGCCGCAAUCCUUCGCCAUCCGCGGCCGGGCCCGCUCCCACGGACCGGGAGAGGAGCGGGGGCUUCCCGGGGCAGCGCGGGGCUCCCACUCUGACCAUGCGGAGGGAAGUAGGAAGGCGCCUGGAACAGCGGAGGUGGGUUGCGUCAUCGUAAUUAGCCUAACUGUGUCUUAAUUAGCUCUGCCGAACCUCCUCAGCCACCGAACAAGAGUCUGGCAGGGCUGAAACCCCACCACAGAGCUGCGGCGUGGGGUCCCGCUCGCGCCAGGUCGUGCUCCUGCUGACGCGAGGCGAGUUGGGGUGAUGCGAGGCAAGUUGGGGUGACGCCACGAGGUCCCGCUCGUCCCUCAUCACCCCUCGCUCCGGUUGGACCUUCUUGGGGUGGAGGGGGUGAUCAUGGCGACCACGCCGCGUGCCGGAACGCAGCCGGUGAGGCUUGCCCGUGCCAUCCGGCUGGGCACGGAGAGCCUCGAAGGCGGUGACGCCGCGAGUCGCACCCUGAUCUCUUUGACGGCUCGGUGGGUUUAUUUGGCAACCGCCACCGUUAUGGGUGUUGCCGCAAGCCUACCAGCGUGGGGGGGCCUGGCGUGGCCCCCGCCAUUCCUGCAGCGCUUGCCAGAGCAGCCCCGGGACAGUUUGAGGCCUCUCCCUGCCUUCCCCGGGGAGGGGUUAUAGACAUCCCAGACACCCCCGUGCCCAGGGGGAGCCCCGCGGCCCUCGGGCUGGGCCCGGCUGGCUGUGCCGAGCGCGGCGGUGCCGGUUGCCACCUCCUCCGGCCCCGCUGACACCGUUCAUUCCCUCUUUGGUUUCAGGUUCCCGCUCCAAUGCGGAGGGACGUAGGAAGGCACUGGGAACAGCAGAGGCAAACAAGUGGCUCCUGCAUGCUGGGACAGACAGGAGAAGGCAGCACGGGUCAGCCAUGCCCACCCACGCGGGUGUUUGUUCGGCUCUAACCGGCGAUUCUUGCCUGCUACCGCGAUGCCAGGGCUGGAAAGAGGAGCCGGCGUGAAGCCGCUGUCGGCGAUGCUUUUGCCACGCGGCCGAAUCCUGCCGGCAGUGAAAAUCUAUUAGGUCACCCGUUUUUGGCACAACCGCCGGGAAAACUGGAUGGCAACCCUCACAGAAAAGCUUGCCGUGCUCCUCGCUCGCUCGCUGGAUACCGGCACGGGGGUCCCCUCUCCGAUGAUCCUCACCUUGACUUGUCCUCCCCAGAGCUCCCAGUUACCUGGGUUUAACUGGGGAUACUGGGAUGAGAAUGGGUGGUGCCGGCCUCUUAAUAAAUAAUCGAUUUCCCGUUGG